rnacentral:rRNA from 1 species
AGAGUUUGAUCCUGGCUCAGGAUGAACGCUAGCGGGAGGCUUAACACAUGCAAGCCGAGGGAGAAAUUUUCUUCGGAAAACAGACACCGGCGAACGGGUGCGUAACGCGUAUGCAACUUGCCCUUAUCUAAGGAAUAGCCCAGGGAAACUUGGAUUAAUACCUUAUAAUAUAGAAUAUGGCAUCAUAAACUAUUAAAAGAUUUAUUGGAUAAGGAUGGGCAUGCGUCUGAUUAGUUAGUUGGUAAGGUAAUGGCUUACCAAGGCAACGAUCAGUAGGGGGCCUGAGAGGGUGAUCCCCCACACUGGUACUGAGACACGGACCAGACUCCUACGGGAGGCAGCAGUGAGGAAUAUUGGACAAUGGGUGCAAGCCUGAUCCAGCCAUCCCGCGUGCAGGAAGACAGCCCUAUGGGUUGUAAACUGCUUUUAUACAGGAAGAAACCCCUUUACGUGUAAAGGGCUGACAUUACUGUACGAAUAAGCAUCGGCUAACUCCGUGCCAGCAGCCGCGGUAAUACGGAGGAUGCAAGCGUUAUCCGGAUUUAUUGGGUUUAAAGGGUCCGCAGGCGGGCUUGUAAGUCAGUGGUGAAAGCUGAUCGCUUAACGAUCAAACUGCCAUUGGUACUGCAAGUCUUGAGUGAGGUUGCUGUAGCUGGAAUGUGUAGUGUAGCGGUGAAAUGCAUAGAUAUUACACAGAACACCAAUUGCGAAGGCAGGUUACAAAACCUCAACUGACGCUCAUGGACGAAAGCGUGGGGAGCGAACAGGAUUAGAUACCCUGGUAGUCCACGCCGUAAACGAUGUUCACUCGCUGCCGGAAUUUUCGGUGGCUAAGCGAAAGUGGUAAGUGAACCACCUGGGGAGUACGUUCGCAAGAAUGAAACUCAAAGGAAUUGACGGGGGCCCGCACAAGCGGUGGAGCAUGUGGUCUAAUUCGAUGAUACGCGAGGAACCUUACCAAGGCUUAAAUGUAAGUUGACAGGCUUAGAAAUAAGUUUUUCUUCGGACAAUUUACAAGGUGCUGCAUGGUUGUCGUCAGCUCGUGCCGUGAGGUGUUAGGUUAAGUCCUGCAACGAGCGCAACCCCUAUCAUUAGUUGCCAGCGUUUAAAGACGGGGACUCUAAUGAGACUGCCAACGUAAGUUGAGAGGAAGGUGGGGAUGACGUCAAAUCAUCACGGCCCUUACGUCUUGGGCUACACACGUGCUACAAUGGUGAGUACAGAGAGUUGCCACUGCGCGAGCAGGAGCGAAUCUACAAAACUCAUCUCAGUUCGGAUUGGAGUCUGCAACUCGACUCCAUGAAGCUGGAAUCGCUAGUAAUCGCAAAUCAGCCAUGUUGCGGUGAAUACGUUCCCGGGCCUUGUACACACCGCCCGUCAAGCCAUGGAAGCUGGGAGUGCCUGAAGUCGGUGACCGUAAUAGGAGCUGCCUAGGGUAAAACUGGUAACUAGGGCUAAGUCGUAACAAGGUA